rnacentral:rRNA from 1 species
GGUUGUCACGCCAGUGGCAUUGCCGGGUAGCUAUGUUCGGAAAAGAUAACCGCUGAAAGCAUCUAAGCGGGAAACUUGCCUCAAGAUGAGAUCUCACUGGGACCUUGAGUCCCCUGAAGGGCCGUCGAAGACUACGACGUUGAUAGGCAGGGUGUGUAAGCGCUGUGAGGCGUUGAGCUAACCUGUACUAAUUGCCCGUGAGGCUUGACCAU